UCUGGUGAUUUUAGCGAACAGGAAACACCCGUUCCCAUUCCGAACACGGCUUCGCCUCUUCGGCGGAUAAAAGUUAAGCUGUUUUGCGCCAAUGAUAGUUACCUCGCAAGGGGUUGCGAAAGUAGGUCAUCGCCAGUU
rnacentral:rRNA from 7 species